rnacentral:rRNA from 1 species
AACGAACGUUGGCGGCGUGGAUGAGGCAUGCAAGUCGAACGCGAAAGCCGCAAGGCGAGUAAAGUGGCGGACGGGCGAGUAACACGUAAUCAAGCUACCUGUGAGACGGGGAUAACUUCGGGAAACCGAAGCUAAGACCCGAUGGCCUUAGGAGACCGCAUGGUUUCCUAAGUAAAUGGGCGGGACCUUUCGGGGUCGCCUGCUCGCAGAGGUGAUUGCGGCCCAUCAGCUAGUUGGUAGGGUAAUGGCCUACCAAGGCAACGACGGGUAGCCGGCCUUAGAGGGUGGUCGGCCGCACUGGGACUGAGACACUGCCCAGACUCCUACGGGAGGCUGCAGUCGAGAAUCUUCCGCAAUGGGCGAAAGCCUGACGGAGCGACGCCGCGUGGAGGAUGAAGGCC